CAGGUAGUCUAGUGGUUAGAGACAGGUAGUCUAGUGGUUAGAGACAGGUAGCCUAGUGGUUAGAGACAGGUAGCCUAGUGGUUAGAGACAGGUAGUCUAGUGGUUAGAGCAGGUAGUCUAGUGGUUAGAGCAGGUAGUCUAGUGGUUAGAGACAGGUAGACUAGUGGUUAGAGACAGGUAGUCUAGUGGUUAGAGACAGGUAGCCUAGUGGUUAGAGACAGGUAGUCUAGGGGUUAGAGACAGGUAGCCUAGUGGUUAGAGACAGGUAGUCUAGUGGUUAGAGACAGGUAGUCUAGUGGUUAGAGCAGGUACUCUAGUGGUUAGAGCAGGUAGUCUAGUGGUUAGAGCAGGUAGUCUAGUGGUUAGAGGCAGGUAGUCUAGUGGUUAGAGACAGGUAGUCUAGUGGUUAGAGACAGGUAGACUAGUGGUUAGAGAAAGGUAGUCUAGUGGUUAGAGACAGGUAGCCUAGUGGUUAGAGACAGGUAGCCUAGUGGUUAGAGACAGGUAGUCUAGUGGUUAGAGACAGGUAGUCUAGUGGUUAGAGACAGGUAGUCUAGUGGUUAGAGACAGGUAGUCUAGUGGUUAGAGACAGGUAGUCUAGUGGUUAGAGACAGGUAGUCCAGUGGUUAGAGACAGGUAGCCUAGUGGUUAGAGACAGGUAGUCUAGUGGUUAGAGACAGGUAGCCUAGUGGUUAGAGACAGGUAGCCUAGUGGUUAGAGACAGGUAGUCUAGUGGUUAGAGACAGUCUAGUGGUUAGAGACAGGUAGUCUAGUGGUUAGAGCAGGUAGCCUAGUGGUUAGAGCAGGUAACCUAGUGGUUAGAGACAGGUAGUCUAGUGGUUAGAGACAGGUAGUCUAGUGGUUAGAGACAGGUAGUCUAGUUGUUAGAGACAGGUAGUCUAGUGGUUAGAGACAGGUAGUCUAGUGGUUAGAGACAGGUAGUCUAGUGGUUAGAGACAGGUAGUCUAGUGGUUAGAGCAGGUAGCCUAGUGGUUAGAGACAGGUAGUCUAGUGGUUAGAGCAGGUAGCCUAGUGGUUAGAGAGGGUAACCUAGUGGUUAGAGACAGGUAGUCUAGUGGUUAGAGACAGGUAGUCUAGUGGUUAGAGACAGGUAGACUAGUGGUUAGAGAUAGGUAGUCUAGUGGUUAGAGACAGGUAGCCUAGUGGUUAGAGACAGGUAGUCUAGUGGUUAGAGACAGGUAGUCUAGUGGUUAGAGACAGGUAGCCUAGUGGUUAGAGACAGGUAGUCUAGUGGUUAGAGACAGGUAGUCUAGUGGUUAGAGACAGGUAGUCUAGUGGUUAGAGACAGGUAGUCUAGUGGUUAGAGACAGGUAGCCUAGUGGUUAGAGACAGGUAUUCCAGUGGUUAGAGACAGGUAGUCUAGUGGUUAGAGACAGGUAGCCUAGUGGUUAGAGACAGGUAGUCUAGUGGUUAGAGACAGGUAGCCUAGUGGUUAGAGACAGGUAGUCUAGUGGUUAGAGACAGGUAGUCUAGUGGUUAGAGCAGGUAGCCUAGUGGUUAGAGCAGGUAACCUAGUGGUUAGAGACAGGUAGUCUAGUGGUUAGAGACAGGUAGUCUAGUGGUUAGAGACAGGUAGCCUAGUGGUUAGAGACAGGUAGUCUAGUGGUUAGAGACAGGUAGUCUAGUGGUUAGAGACAGGUAGCCUAGUGGUUAGAGACAGGUAGUCUAGUGGUUAGAGACAGGUAGCCUAGUGGUUAGAGACAGGUAGCCUAGUGGUUAGAGACAGGUAGUCUAGUGGUUAGAGCAGGUAGUCUAGUGGUUAGAGCAGGUAGUCUAGUGGUUAGAGACAGGUAGUCUAGUGGUUAGAGACAGGUAGACUAGUGGUUAGAGAUAGGUAGUCUAGUGGUUAGAGACAGGUAGCCUAGUGGUUAGAGACAGGUAGUCUAGUGGUUAGAGACAGGUAGCCUAGUGGUUAGAGCAGGUAACCUAGUGGUUAGAGACAGGUAGUCUAGUGGUUAGAGACAGGUAGUCUAGUGGUUAGAGACAGGUAGUCUAGUGGUUAGAGACAGGUAGUCUAGUGGUUAGAGACAGGUAGUCUAGUGGUUAGAGACAGGUAGUCUAGUGGUUAGAGACAGGUAGCCUAGUGGUUAGAGACAGGUAGUCUAGUGGUUAGAGACAGGUAGUCUAGUGGUUAGAGACAGGUAGUCUAGUGGUUAGAGCAGGUAGCCUAGUGGUUAGAGACAGGUAGUCUAGUGGUUAGAGACAGCCUAGUGGUUAGAGACAGGUAGGCUAGUGGUUAGAGACAGGUAGCCUAGUGGUUAGAGACAGGUAGUCUAGUGGUUAGAGACAGGUAGUCUAGUGGUUAGAGACAGGUAGCCUAGUGGUUAGAGCAGGUAGUCUAGUGGUUAGAGACAGGUAGCCUAGUGGUUAGAGACAGGUAGUCUAGUGGUUAGAGACAGGUAGUCUAGUGGUUAGAUACAGGUAGUCUAGUG